rnacentral:rRNA from 1 species
UGGGGAAUUUUGGACAAUGGGCGCAAGCCUGAUCCGGCAAUGCCGCGUGCAGGAUGAAGGCCUUCGGGUUGUAAACUGCUUUUGUACGGAACGAAACGGCUCUGUCUAAUACAUGGGGCUAAUGACGGUACCGUAAGAAUAAGCACCGGCUAACUACGUGCCAGCAGCCGCGGUAAUAUGUAGGGUGCAAGUGUUAAUCGGAAUUACUGGGCGUAAAGCGUGCGCAGGCGGUGAUGUAAGACAGAGGUGAAAUCCCCGGGCUCAACCUGGGAAUUGCCUUUGUGACUGCAAGGCUUGAGUGCGGCAGAGGGGGAUGGAAUUCCGUGUGUAGCAGUGAAAUGCGUAGAUAUGCGGAGGAACACCGAUGGCGAAGGCAGCCUCCUGGGCCAGUACUGACGCUCAUGCACGAAAGCGUGGGGAGCAAACA